GAUGAACGCUGACAGAAUGCUUAACACAUGCAAGUCUUUGGCAAAGCUGUGCUUGCACAGUCUAGCCAAGGCGGACGGGUGAGUAACGCGUAAGGAACUUGCCCUGCAGUCAGGGAUAACAGACGGAAACGACUGAUAAAACCUGAUAAAGUCAGACGGACUCAUGUCCAGUCUGAUGAAAAGAAAUGCUGCAGGAGAGCCUUGCGUCCUAUUAGCUUGUUGGUGGGGUAACGGCCCACCAAGGCAAUGAUAGGUAGCCGGCCUGAGAGGGUGGACGGCCACAAGGGGACUGAGAUACGGCCCUUACUCCUACGGGAGGCAGCAGUGGGGAAUAUUGGACAAUGGGGGCAACCCUGAUCCAGCAAUUCUGUGUGCACGAAGAAGGUUUUCGGAUUGUAAAGUGCUUUCAGCAGGGAAGAAAAAAAUGACGGUACCUGCAGAAGAAGCGACGGCUAAAUACGUGCCAGCAGCCGCGGUAAUACGUAUGUCGCAAGCGUUAUCCGGAAUUAUUGGGCAUAAAGGGCAUCUAGGCGGCCAGAUAAGUCUGGGGUGAAAACUUGCGGCUCAACCGCAAGCCUGCCCUGGAAACUAUGUGGCUAGAGUACUGGAGAGGUGGACGGAACUGCACGAGUAGAGGUGAAAUUCGUAGAUAUGUGCAGGAAUGCCGAUGAUGAAGAUAGUUCACUGGACGGUAACUGACGCUGAAGUGCGAAAGCUAGGGGAGCAAACAGG
rnacentral:rRNA from 1 species